ensembl:antisense Gm15634 predicted gene 15634
GCGUCUGUUCGUGGAAAAUUUUGCUGCAGGUGUCAGAAGCCUGCGUUGAGCUCCGCUCAGGGUCUCUCUGUGUAAACCUGGCUAUCCUGAAACUCACUAUGUGGACCAGGCUAGUCUGGACCCCCCCAGAGAUCUACUUGCCUCUGCUUUCAGAGUGCUGGAAUCAAAGAACCCAGGGAACUCCCUCAGAAGAGGAGCCAGAAAGAAUGUAAGAGCAGACAGGAUGGAGGACUGCAAGAAAGCAAGGCCCUCUAAAUCAACAUGAGCAGAGCUCAUAUGAACUCACAGAGACUGAGGCGGCAUGCACAGGGCCUGCAUGAGUCUGCACCAGGUCCUCUGCACAUAUAUUAUGGCUUCUACUUUAAUGGGAUUCCUGAUGAGCAAAUGAAUGGGUCUUUGAUUCUUGUGCCUUCUGUUGGGCUCUUUUCCUUCUCUUACCCAACUUUGAUGUGAUAGUUUUUGUCUUAUUAUAUUUGAUUAUGUUGUAUUUUA